rnacentral:rRNA from 1 species
GACGAACGCUGGCGGCGUGCUUAAUGAAUGCGAGUCGAGCGAGAACCGGACUGAGGAAACCUUCGGGUGGAAUCAGUCUGGGGAGAGCGGCAAACGGGUGAGUAACACGUGGGUAACCUGCCCCUCAGACGGGGAUAAUUCGCCGAAAGGCGGACUAAUACCCGAUGGUGAUGUGCCAACACAUGUUGAUACAUCUAAAGGCUCCGGUGCUGAGGGAGGGGUCCGCGGCCGAUUAGCUUGUUGGUAGGGUAACGGCCUACCAAGGCUUCGAUCGGUAGCCGGUCUGAGAGGAUGACCGGUCACACUGGGACUGAGACAUGGUCCAGACUCCUACGGGAGUUAGCAUCAGGGAAUCUUGCGCAAUGGGCGAAAGCCUGGCGCAGCGACGCCGCGUGGGUGAUGAAGGCCGGCGGGUCGUAAAGCCCUGUCGGGAGGGAAGAAACAGCACCUUCGGGUGCUUUGACUGUACCUCCGGAGGAAGCCCCGGCUAAUUACGUGCCAGCAGCCGCGGUAAUACGUAAGGGGCCAGCGUUGUCCGGAAUUACUGGGCGUAAAGAGCACGUAGGCGGUUAGGAAAGCGAUAGGUGAAAUCCCCCGGCUCAACCGAGGAACUGCUUAUCGAACUGCCUGACUAGAGCACGGGAGAGGGCACUGGAAUUCCUGGUGUAGCGGUGGAAUGCGUAUAUAUCAGGAGGAACACCGGUGGCGAAGGCUGGUGCCUGGAACGUUGCUGACGCUAAGGUGCGAAAGCCAGGGGAACAAACGGGAUUAGAUACCCCGGUAGUCCUGGCCGUAAACGAUGGACACUAGGUGUUGGAGGUUCGACCCCUUCAGUGCUGUUAAGCUAACGCGUUAAGUGUCCCGCCUGGGGAGUACGGUCGCAAGGCUGAAACUCAAAGGAAUUGACGGGGGCCCGCACAAGCGGUGGAGCAUGUGGGUCAAUGGGAUGAUACGCCGAGAACCUUACCAGGGCUUGACAUGACCCUGAUCCCCUGCGAAAGCAGGUCUUCUGGGCAACCAGACAGGGCCACAGGUGGUGCAUGGUUGUCGACAGCUCGUGUCGUGAGAUGUUGGGUUAAGUCCCGCAACGAGCGCAACCCUCGCCGGAUGUUGCCAGCGGUUAGGCCGGGCACUCUUCCGGGACUGCCGGAGUAAUCCGGAGGAAGGGGGGGAUGACGUCAAGUCUGCAUGCCCCUUAUGUCCUGGGCUGCACACGUGCUACAAUGGCGAGUACAAAGGGUCGCGAAGCCGCGAGGCCCAGCUAAUCCCCAAAAACUCGUCCCAGUUCGGAUUGGAGUCUGCAACUCGACUCCAUGAAGUCGGAAUCGCUAGUAACCGUGGAUCAGCAAUGCCGCGGUGAAUACGUUCCCGGGCCUUGUACACACCGCCCGUCAAGUCACGGAAGCCGACAGCACCCCAAGUCCGCUACGGCGGCCCAAGGUGAGGUCAGUGACUGGG